GGGGCUGACCGGUUUUGACAGCAGGCAGAGUCUGAUUGUAAGCACGCCGAGCGUUGUGUGGACUCUCGUAAAACUGAAUGCUCAAACUACAAAUGGCGAUAAUAGCUAUGCACUCGCUGCUUAAUUUUACAGAGUAAAAUGGCUUAAUCCGGCAGUCCAAGGAGGCUGUCAGACGAGUACCCCGCCGAAGCUUCGUUCCGUAGCGGAAGGCACCGGGGUAUCAUUCAAACGGAAAUAGCGGAUCGGAUGCCUAUAACGAUUCGCGAAAAUCAAUAGGCUGGGGCCGUAACUGGGUCGCCUUCGACCAGGUUGCGGCAGAAGGAUCAACCGAAGGAUAAGCGUGUAGAAAGCUUUUGGGUUCCUUGUUUGGACGAGGGUUCGACUCCCUCCAGCUCCACAA
rnacentral:tmRNA from 3 species